UUGACAGCCCUGGAGACUGAUGUCCUAAUUAUCUUCAGAACAGGUGCACAUGUGCAUUUUCCUGCCAAUGUGACUCAGUCUAAAGGUGGAGAGCCCAAUUCUCAGAUUAGAAUUGUAAAUCAGUAUAAAGCCUUCUCAAACUGCAGUCAUU
rnacentral:sRNA from 1 species